AGAGUUUGAUCCUGGCUCAGGACGAACGCUGGCGGCGUGCCUAAUACAUGCAAGUAGAACGCUGAAGAGAGGAGCUUGCUCUUCUUGGAUGAGUUGCGAACGGGUGAGUAACGCGUAGGUAACCUGCCUUGUAGCGGGGGAUAACUAUUGGAAACGAUAGCUAAUACCGCAUAACAAUGGAUGACACAUGUCAUUUAUUUGAAAGGGGCAAUUGCUCCACUACAAGAUGGACCUGCGUUGUAUUAGCUAGUAGGUGAGGUAACGGCUCACCUAGGCGACGAUACAUAGCCGACCUGAGAGGGUGAUCGGCCACACUGGGACUGAGACACGGCCCAGACUCCUACGGGAGGCAGCAGUAGGGAAUCUUCGGCAAUGGGGGCAACCCUGACCGAGCAACGCCGCGUGAGUGAAGAAGGUUUUCGGAUCGUAAAGCUCUGUUGUAAGUCAAGAACGAGUGUGAGAGUGGAAAGUUCACACUGUGACGGUAGCUUACCAGAAAGGGACGGCUAACUACGUGCCAGCAGCCGCGGUAAUACGUAGGUCCCGAGCGUUGUCCGGAUUUAUUGGGCGUAAAGCGAGCGCAGGCGGUUUGAUAAGUCUGAAGUUAAAGGCUGUGGCUCAACCAUAGUUCGCUUUGGAAACUGUCAAACUUGAGUGCAGAAGGGGAGAGUGGAAUUCCAUGUGUAGCGGUGAAAUGCGUAGAUAUAUGGAGGAACACCGGUGGCGAAAGCGGCUCUCUGGUCUGUAACUGACGCUGAGGCUCGAAAGCGUGGGGAGCGAACAGGAUUAGAUACCCUGGUAGUCCACGCCGUAAACGAUGAGUGCUAGGUGUUGGAUCCUUUCCGGGAUUCAGUGCCGCAGCUAACGCAUUAAGCACUCCGCCUGGGGAGUACGACCGCAAGGUUGAAACUCAAAGGAAUUGACGGGGGCCCGCACAAGCGGUGGAGCAUGUGGUUUAAUUCGAAGCAACGCGAAGAACCUUACCAGGUCUUGACAUCCCGAUGCUAUUUCUAGAGAUAGAAAGUUACUUCGGUACAUCGGUGACAGGUGGUGCAUGGUUGUCGUCAGCUCGUGUCGUGAGAUGUUGGGUUAAGUCCCGCAACGAGCGCAACCCCUAUUGUUAGUUGCCAUCAUUCAGUUGGGCACUCUAGCGAGACUGCCGGUAAUAAACCGGAGGAAGGUGGGGAUGACGUCAAAUCAUCAUGCCCCUUAUGACCUGGGCUACACACGUGCUACAAUGGUUGGUACAACGAGUUGCGAGUCGGUGACGGCAAGCUAAUCUCUUAAAGCCAAUCUCAGUUCGGAUUGUAGGCUGCAACUCGCCUACAUGAAGUCGGAAUCGCUAGUAAUCGCGGAUCAGCACGCCGCGGUGAAUACGUUCCCGGGCCUUGUACACACCGCCCGUCACGCCACGAGAGUUUGUAACACCCGAAGUCGGUGAGGUAACCUUUUGGAGCCAGCCGCCUAAGGUGGGAUAGAUGAUUGGGGUGAAGUCGUAACAAGGUA
rnacentral:rRNA from 1 species